rnacentral:rRNA from 1 species
GUGGUUUGUCGCGUUGUUCGUGAAAUCUCACGGCUUAACUGUGAGCGUGCGGGCGAUACGGGCAGACUUGAGUACUGCAGGGGAGACUGGAAUUCCUGGUGUAGCGGUGGAAUGCGCAGAUAUCAGGAGGAACACCGGUGGCGAAGGCGGGUCUCUGGGCAGUAACUGACGCUGAGGAGCGAAAGCGUGGGGAGCGAACAGGAUUAGAUACCCUGGUAGUCCACGCCGUAAACGGUGGGUACUAGGUGUGGGUUUCCUUCCUUGGGAUCCGUGCCGUAGCUAACGCAUUAAGUACCCCGCCUGGGGAGUACGGCCGCAAGGCUAAAACUCAAAGAAAUUGACGGGGGCCCGCACAAGCGGCGGAGCAUGUGGAUUAAUUCGAUGCAACGCGAAGAACCUUACCUGGGUUUGACAUGCACAGGACGCCGGCAGAGAUGUCGGUUCCCUUGUGGCCUGUGUGCAGGCGGUGCAUGGCUGUCGUCAGCUCGUGUCGUGAGAUGUUGGGUUAAGUCCCGCAACGAGCGCAACCCUUGUCUCAUGUUGCCAGCGGGUAAUGCCGGGGACUCGUGAGAGACUGCCGGGGUCAACUCGGAGGAAGGUGGGGAUGACGUCAAGUCAUCAUGCCCCUUAUGUCCAGGGCUUCACACAUGCUACAAUGGCCGGUACAAAGGGCUGCGAUGCCGCGAGGUUAAGCGAAUCCUUUUAAAGCCGGUCUCAGUUCGGAUCGGGGUCUGCAACUCGACCCCGUGAAGUCGGAGUCGCUAGUAAUC